rnacentral:rRNA from 1 species
ACGAGCGGCGGACGGGUGAGUAAUGCUUGGGAACAUGCCUUGAGGUGGGGGACAACAGUUGGAAACGACUGCUAAUACCGCAUAAUGUCUACGGACCAAAGGGGGCUUCGGCUCUCGCCUUUAGAUUGGCCCAAGUGGGAUUAGCUAGUUGGUGAGGUAAUGGCUCACCAAGGCGACGAUCCCUAGCUGGUUUGAGAGGAUGAUCAGCCACACUGGGACUGAGACACGGCCCAGACUCCUACGGGAGGCAGCAGUGGGGAAUAUUGCACAAUGGGCGCAAGCCUGAUGCAGCCAUGCCGCGUGUGUGAAGAAGGCCUUCGGGUUGUAAAGCACUUUCAGUCAGGAGGAAAGGUUAGUAGUUAAUACCUGCUAGCUGUGACGUUACUGACAGAAGAAGCACCGGCUAACUCCGUGCCAGCAGCCGCGGUAAUACGGAGGGUGCGAGCGUUAAUCGGAAUUACUGGGCGUAAAGCGUACGCAGGCGGUUUGUUAAGCGAGAUGUGAAAGCCCCGGGCUCAACCUGGGAACUGCAUUUCGAACUGGCAAACUAGAGUGUGAUAGAGGGUGGUAGAAUUUCAGGUGUAGCGGUGAAAUGCGUAGAGAUCUGAAGGAAUACCGAUGGCGAAGGCAGCCACCUGGGUCAACACUGACGCUCAUG